AACGAACGCUGGCGGCGCGUCUUAAGCAUGCAAGUCGAACGAAUGGCCACCCUCGGGUGGCCGGAAGUGGCGGACGGGUGAGUAACACGUGGGUAAUCUGCCCUCCGGUGGGGAAUAGCACAUGGAAACAUGUGAUAAUACCGCAUGAUACGGCGCGGCGAUGCCGCGUCGGGAAAGCUCCUGCGGGAGCGCCGGGGGAUGAGCCUGCGGCCCAUUAGCUAGUUGGCGGGUAAAGGCCCACCAAGGCGACGAUGGGUAGCCGGACUGAGAGGUUGAACGGCCACAUUGGGAUUGAGAACGGGCCCAGACUCCUACGGGAGGCAGCAGCUAAGAAUCUUCCACAAUGGACGGAAGUCUGAUGGAGCGACGCCGCGUGGGACGAUGAAGGCCGUGAGGCUGUAAAGUCCUUUUCGGGAGGGGG
rnacentral:rRNA from 1 species